rnacentral:rRNA from 1 species
AUUGAACGCUGGCGGUAUGCUUAACACAUGCAAGUCGAACGGUAACAGGCCUUCGGGCGCUGACGAGUGGCGGACGGGUGAGUAACGCGUAGGAAUCUGCCUUAUAGUGGGGGACAACGUGGGGAAACCCACGCUAAUACCGCAUACGCCCUACGGGGGAAAGCGGGGGAUCGUAAGACCUCGCGCUGAUAGAUGAGCCUACGUCAGAUUAGCUAGUUGGUGGGGUAAUGGCCUACCAAGGCGACGAUCUGUAACUGGUCUGAGAGGAUGAUCAGUCACACUGGAACUGAGACACGGUCCAGACUCCUACGGGUGGCAG